AACCUAACUGCCAUCAAAUCUCCAAUGGCUGCUGACAGUAUUCAACCUCCUACAACGAAGCUUCAAAAACAAUUUGAGCCUUUGGUAUUUGCUGAAGAUGUCCCAAUAAAGGAAACAUUGGUUAGUGUUAUUGCAUCUCAGGAAAUUAUUGAUACACCUAUGCAACCAAUCUCUGAAGAUAAUCCACUGC